GAUGAACGCUAGCGACAGGCUUAACACAUGCAAGUCGAGGUGCAGCAUAGAAGUAGCAAUACUUUGGUGGCGACCGGCGCACGGGUGAGUAACGCGUAUGCAACCUACCUAUCAGAGGGGAAUAACCCGGCGAAAGUCGGACUAAUACCGCAUAAAACAGGGGCACCGCAUGGUGAUAUUUGUUAAAGAAAUUCGCUGAUAGAUGGGCAUGCGUUCCAUUAGGUAGUUGGUGAGGUAACGGCUAACCAAGCCGACGAUGGAUAGGGGAACUGGGAGGUUGGUCCCCCUCACUGGUACUGAGCAACGGACCAGACUCCUACGGGAGGCAGCAGUGAGGAAUAUUGGUCAAUGGGCGGGAGCCUGAACCAGCCAAGUCGCGUGAGGGAAGAAGGAUCUAUGGUUCGUAAACUUCUUUUGCAGGGGAAUAAAGUGCAGGACGUGUCCUGUUUUGUAUGUACCCUGAGAAUAAGGAUCGGCUAACUCCGUGCCAGCCGCCGCUGUAA
rnacentral:rRNA from 1 species